GAUGAACGCUGGCGGCGUGCCUAACACAUGCAAGUCGAGCGAUUCUCUUCGGAGAAGAGCGGCGGACGGGUGAGUAACGCGUGGGUAACCUGCCCUGUACACACGGAUAACAUACCGCAAGGUAUGCUAAUACGAGAUGAUAUGCUUUUAUCGCAUGGUAGAAGUAUCCAGGCUUUUGCGGUACAGGAUGGACCCGCGUCUGAUUAGCUAGUUGGUAAGGUAACGGCUUACCAAGGCGACGAUCAGGAGCCGACCUGAGAGGGUGAUCGGCCACAUUGGAACUGAGACACGGUCCAAACUACUACGGGAGGCAGCAGUGGGGAAUAUUGCACAAUGGGGGAAAGCCUGAUGCAGCAACGCCGCGUGAGCGAUGAAGGCCUUCGGGUCGUAAAGCUCUGUCCUCAAGGAAGAUAAUGACGGUACUUGAGGAGGAAGCCCCGGCUAACUACGUGCCAGCAGCCGCCGUAA
rnacentral:rRNA from 1 species